rnacentral:rRNA from 1 species
AGUCGAACGGUAACAGAUCUUCGGAUGCUGACGAGUGGCGAACGGGUGAGUAAUACAUCGGAACGUGCCCGAUCGUGGGGGAUAACGCAGCGAAAGCUGUGCUAAUACCGCAUACGAUCUAUGGAUGAAAGCGGGGGAUCGCAAGACCUCGCGCGAUUGGAGCGGCCGAUAUCAGAUUAGCUAGUUGGUGGGGUAAAAGCUCACCAAGGCGACGAUCUGUAGCUGGUCUGAGAGGACGACCAGCCACACUGGAACUGAGACACGGUCCAGACUCCUACGGGAGGCAGCAGUGGGGAAUUUUGGACAAUGGGCGAAAGCCUGAUCCAGCAAUGCCGCGUGCAGGAUGAAGGCCUUCGGGUUGUAAACUGCUUUUGUACGGAGCGAAACGGUUAUCUCUAAUAAAGAUGGCUAAUGACGGUACCGUGAGAAUAAGCACCGGCUAACUACGUGCCAGCAGCCGCGGUAAUACGUAGGGUGCGAGCGUUAAUCGGAAUUACUGGGCGUAAAGCGUGCGCAGGCGGUUUUGUAAGACAGAUGUGAAAUCCCCGGGCUCAACCUGGGACCUGCAUUUGUGACUGCAAAGCUAGAGUACGGUAGAGGGGGAUGGAAUUCCGCGUGUAGCAGUGAAAUGCGUAGAUAUGCGGAGGAACACCGAUGGCGAAGGCAAUCCCCUGGACCUGUACUGACGCUCAUGCACGAAAGCGUGGGGAGCAAACAGGAUUAGAUACCCUGGUAGUCCACGCCCUAAACGAUGUCAACUGGUUGUUGGGUC